GGGUUGUGAGGUUAAGCGACUAAGCGUACACGGUGGAUGCCCUGGCAGUCAGAGGCGAUGAAGGACGUGCUAAUCUGCGAUAAGCGUCGGUAAGGUGAUAUGAACCGUUAUAACCGGCGAUUUCCGAAUGGGGAAACCCAGUGUGAUUCGUCACACUAUCAUUAACUGAAUCCAUAGGUUAAUGAGGCGAACCGGGGGAACUG
rnacentral:rRNA from 1 species